GAUGAACGCUGGCGGCGUGCCUAAUACAUGCAAGUCGAGCGAACAGACGAGGAGCUUGCUCCUCUGACGUUAGCGGCGGACGGGUGAGUAACACGUGGAUAACCUACCUAUAAGACUGGGAUAACUUCGGGAAACCGGAGCUAAUACCGGAUAAUAUAUUGAACCGCAUGGUUCAAUAGUGAAAGACGGUUUUGCUGUGACUUAUAGAUGUAUCCGCGCCGCAUUAGCUUGUUGGUAAGGUAACGGCUUAACAAGGCAACGAUGGGUAGCCGACCUGAGAGGGUGACCGGCCACAAUGGGACUGAGAUACGGCCCAGACUCCUACGGGAGGCAGCAGUGGGGAAUCUUGACGAAUGGGCGGAAGCCUGAUGAAGAAACGCCGCGUGCGGGAUGACGGCCUUCGGGUUGUAAACCGAUUUCAGCAGGGGCGAAGCUUGUGGUGACGGUACCUGGAGAAGAAGCAACGGCUAACUACGUG
rnacentral:rRNA from 1 species